rnacentral:lncRNA from 1 species
CAGGCGAGCGCGCUACCGCUUGAGCCACAUCCCCAGCCCAUACAUAUUUAUUUUUUAUAGUUAGGAAUGAGAAUAAGGAUUUUUUUUCGUCAUCACAGGAACAUUGCCGGCUUUGUUCCUGUGGCGAGCAAAUGCAUCCUCAUAACCUCCAAAAUUAAAAGUAAAAUAUAAAGAAGCAUGUUUGAUAUCUCUCAUCAAUAGAACAUUAUUUAGUAACUCAACUACAGAGAAAAGUCAGGUUAUUUAACUCAGAACUAACUUAAAUUUAGGGCCGCAACAUAGAAACUUGUGGAAUUAAAUUGUAUCUGAAAAAGAUAUUUUUCGUUAGUAUCUACAGGUAGGCAUUCUUAAAAAUACAGGCUCUGAACAGCUCCCAUAGAAAUCUGAAACACAGUAGUACAGGUUAGUGGCUGGAAGGCGGGACUAGAAGUCCUGUCUAAGUGACUGUGGAAUAACCAAUCGGAAGCCCGCGAAAGUGUGGGAGGUGGGACCAGGAAGCCUCCUCUUCCGGCCAGGCACCCCGUGGUUGCCAUGGUGAUGCAAACACCAUGGAGUCCGCUGCCCAUUGUUGGGGCAAAAGUUCCCCAAGGUUUCCUAGCCAAUUGCAUUUUGUUUGAUUUUGUCUGCAUUUUCCCCUGCCUGGCCAAGAUCUUCCUGCGGUAGCAGCUUGUUCUGUCUCUGCGACCUGCGGUUGCAGCUCGUGUACAUCCUGCACUUUUUUCUGUGGCAUGUGUGUGCUCCAAAGGUUUUUCAGCAGCAAAUGCUAGCAUUGCCAUCAGAUCUUAAGUUAGUCUGUGUUUGGCAUUUAGGUCAAGUAAUUCAAGGGUUAAAAGGACUGCUGGCCCCAGGGGCUAGGACACCAUAGGGAGCAGCAAGCAGCAGUGGCUAAAGUCUCUUGUCCCCAGAGGCUGAGUUACAGCCAUUCUGAUUCAUAGGACAAUCAUGUAGUAAAAAGGUCCCUAUAUACUUUCUGAGUAUUGACAAAAACAAUAGAAAAUUGAAACUUAUUUCUCUCCAGGUAAACAUCACAUUUUCUUUCCCUUUUUCUCACUCUCCUAGCACAAACUUCUAGAACAUAAAGGCCAAAAAAUCUCUUUUAUUUUUUUUAAAGCUUUUUUUUUUAUGUGAUGCUGAGGAUGGAACUCAGGUUCUGCCCAUGCUAGGGAAGCACUCUACUGCUGAGCAACAAUCCUAGCACCCCCCACCACCACCACCAAAUCUUUUAUAAAGAUUUAUAAAAACUAUUUUAAAAAAUCCACAAAAGUGCACUUUCCAUGGAGAGGACUCAACACAACAACAUAGCCCAUCAAUGAUCUUAAUAACUAUAUUUAUUUAGAGUCUCUACAAUUACAUCCCAAUAUUAAAAAUUUUAAUGUCACAGAUUUUCCUUUUGUCUAAUUCACUUACUUUCUACAAUUCUGCCCACAAUACUCUGCAAUCCUAAGCAUGCUUAACUUCUGGAGAGAACUUUCCACUUCACUAACUUUCUUUAAUAUUUAAAUUGGAGUCCCCUUAGGAACCAGCAUUUGUUGCUUUUGUCCCUCUGCUUAAAGACUCAGACCUUUUGGCCCACUUUGGACACCAAUUGCCGGGUUUCUGUUCUAGUGACUAAAAGGCUCAGGGGUCACUCUAGUUAAACUGGGCUAACUGGGCUGCAUGAAAUAACCACACAAGAGACACACAUAACUUUUUCUUUGGGGUUGCUGUGAUGGCUC